rnacentral:tRNA from 1 species
UAAAAAAUGCCUUCAAUAAGACAAUUUUAGUUUGACAAACUAAUGUUAUAUUUAAUUAACUAAUUUUUU